rnacentral:rRNA from 1 species
GGUUAAGCGACUAAGCGUACACGGUGGAUGCCCUGGCAGUCAGAGGCGAUGAAGGACGUGCUAAUCUGCGAUAAGCGUCGGUAAGGUGAUAUGAACCGUUAUAACCGGCGAUUUCCGAAUGGGGAAACCCAGUGUGUUUCGACACACUAUCAUUAACUGAAUCCAUAGGUUAAUGAGGCGAACCGGGGGAACUGAAACAUCUAAGUACCCCGAGGAAAAGAAAUCAACCGAGAUUCCCCCAGUAGCGGCGAGCGAACGGGGAGCAGCCCAGAGCCUGAAUCAGUAUGUGUGUUAGUGGAAGCGUCUGGAAAGGCGCGCGAUACAGGGUGACAGCCCCGUACACAAAAAUGCACAUAUUGUGAGCUCGAUGAGUAGGGCGGGACACGUGGUAUCCUGUCUGAAUAUGGGGGGACCAUCCUCCAAGGCUAAAUACUCCUGACUGACCGAUAGUGAACCAGUACCGUGAGGGAAAGGCGAAAAGAACCCCGGCGAGGGGAGUGAAAAAGAACCUGAAACCGUGUACGUACAAGCAGUGGGAGCACGCUUAGGCGUGUGACUGCGUACCUUUUGUAUAAUGGGUCAGCGACUUAUAUUCUGUAGCAAGGUUAACCGAAUAGGGGAGCCGAAGGGAAACCGAGUCUUAACUGGGCGUUAAGUUGCAGGGUAUAGACCCGAAACCCGGUGAUCUAGCCAUGGGCAGGUUGAAGGUUGGGUAACACUAACUGGAGGACCGAACCGACUAAUGUUGAAAAAUUAGCGGAUGACUUGUGGCUGGGGGUGAAAGGCCAAUCAAACCGGGAGAUAGCUGGUUCUCCCCGAAAGCUAUUUAGGUAGCGCCUCGUGAAUUCAUCUCCGGGGGUAGAGCACUGUUUCGGCAAGGGGGUCAUCCCGACUUACCAACCCGAUGCAAACUGCGAAUACCGGAGAAUGUUAUCACGGGAGACACACGGCGGGUGCUAACGUCCGUCGUGAAGAGGGAAACAACCCAGACCGCCAGCUAAGGUCCCAAAGUCAUGGUUAAGUGGGAAACGAUGUGGGAAGGCCCAGACAGCCAGGAUGUUGGCUUAGAAGCAGCCAUCAUUUAAAGAAAGCGUAAUAGCUCACUGGUCGAGUCGGCCUGCGCGGAAGAUGUAACGGGGCUAAACCAUGCACCGAAGCUGCGGCAGCGACGCUGAUGCGUUGUUGGGUAGGGGAGCGUUCUGUAAGCCUGCGAAGGUGUGCUGUGAGGCAUGCUGGAGGUAUCAGAAGUGCGAAUGCUGACAUAAGUAACGAUAAAGCGGGUGAAAAGCCCGCUCGCCGGAAGACCAAGGGUUCCUGUCCAACGUUAAUCGGGGCAGGGUGAGUCGACCCCUAAGGCGAGGCCGAAAGGCGUAGUCGAUGGGAAACAGGUUAAUAUUCCUGUACUUGGUGUUACUGCGAAGGGGGGACGGAGAAGGCUAUGUUGGCCGGGCGACGGUUGUCCCGGUUUAAGCGUGUAGGCUGGUUUUCCAGGCAAAUCCGGAAAAUCAAGGCUGAGGCGUGAUGACGAGGCACUACGGUGCUGAAGCAACAAAUGCCCUGCUUCCAGGAAAAGCCUCUAAGCAUCAGGUAACAUCAAAUCGUACCCCAAACCGACACAGGUGGUCAGGUAGAGAAUACCAAGGCGCUUGAGAGAACUCGGGUGAAGGAACUAGGCAAAAUGGUGCCGUAACUUCGGGAGAAGGCACGCUGAUAUGUAGGUGAAGUCCCUUGCGGAUGGAGCUGAAAUCAGUCGAAGAUACCAGCUGGCUGCAACUGUUUAUUAAAAACACAGCACUGUGCAAACACGAAAGUGGACGUAUACGGUGUGACGCCUGCCCGGUGCCGGAAGGUUAAUUGAUGGGGUCAGCGCAAGCGAAGCUCUUGAUCGAAGCCCCGGUAAACGGCGGCCGUAACUAUAACGGUCCUAAGGUAGCGAAAUUCCUUGUCGGGUAAGUUCCGACCUGCACGAAUGGCGUAAUGAUGGCCAGGCUGUCUCCACCCGAGACUCAGUGAAAUUGAACUCGCUGUGAAGAUGCAGUGUACCCGCGGCAAGACGGAAAGACCCCGUGAACCUUUACUAUAGCUUGACACUGAACAUUGAGCCUUGAUGUGUAGGAUAGGUGGGAGGCUUGGAAGUGUGGACGCCAGUCUGCAUGGAGCCGACCUUGAAAUACCACCCUUUAAUGUUUGAUGUUCUAACGUUGACCCGUAAUCCGGGUUGCGGACAGUGUCUGGUGGGUAGUUUGACUGGGGCGGUCUCCUCCUAAAGAGUAACGGAGGAGCACGAAGGUUGGCUAAUCCUGGUCGGACAUCAGGAGGUUAGUGCAAUGGCAUAAGCCAGCUUGACUGCGAGCGUGACGGCGCGAGCAGGUGCGAAAGCAGGUCAUAGUGAUCCGGUGGUUCUGAAUGGAAGGGCCAUCGCUCAACGGAUAAAAGGUACUCCGGGGAUAACAGGCUGAUACCGCCCAAGAGUUCAUAUCGACGGCGGUGUUUGGCACCUCGAUGUCGGCUCAUCACAUCCUGGGGCUGAAGUAGGUCCCAAGGGUAUGGCUGUUCGCCAUUUAAAGUGGUACGCGAGCUGGGUUUAGAACGUCGUGAGACAGUUCGGUCCCUAUCUGCCGUGGGCGCUGGAGAACUGAGGGGGGCUGCUCCUAGUACGAGAGGACCGGAGUGGACGCAUCACUGGUGUUCGGGUUGUCAUGCCAAUGGCACUGCCCGGUAGCUAAAUGCGGAAGAGAUAAGUGCUGAAAGCAUCUAAGCACGAAACUUGCCCCGAGAUGAGUUCUCCCUGACUCCUUGAGAGUCCUGAAGGAACGUUGAAGACGACGACGUUGAUAGGCCGGGUGUGUAAGCGCAGCGAUGCGUUGAGCUAACCGGUACUAAUGAACCGUGAGGCUUAACCUU